CCUAUAAUUAUAGCGCCCGAACUAAGCGCCCGGAAAAAGGCUUAGUUGACGAGGAUGGAGGUUAUCGAAUUUUCGGCGGAUGCCUCCCGGCUGAGUGUGCAGAUCACAGCCGUAAGGAUUUCUUCAAACCAAGGGGGUGACUCCUUGAACAAAGAGAAAUCACAUGAUCUU
rfam:Bacillus subtilis subsp. subtilis str. 168 complete genome.